CCUACGGGAGGCAGCAGUAGGGAAUCUUUCACAAUGGGCGAAAGCCUGAUGGAGCAACGCCGCGUGCAGGAUGAAGGCCUUCGGGUUGUAAACUGCUUUUAUAAGCGAGAAAUAUGAUGGUAACUUAUGAAUAAGGAUCGGCUAACUACGUGCCAGCAGCCGCGGUCCUACGUAGGAUCCGAGCAUUAUCCGGAGUGGCUGGGUGUAAAGAGUUGCGUAGGUGGCAUAAUAAGUAGCUAGUGAAAUCUGGGGGCUCAACCAUUCAGACUAUUAGCUAAACUGUUAAGCUCGAGACCGUUAGGGUUAACUGGAAUUUCUAGUGUAGGAGUGAAAUCCGUAGAUAUUAGAAGGAACACCAAUAGCGUAGGCAGGUUACUGGGACGGUUCUGACACUAAGGCACGAAAGCGUAGGGAGCAAACGGGAUUAGAUACCCCUGUAGUC
rnacentral:rRNA from 1 species